AGUGAACGCUGGCGGUAGGCCUAACACAUGCAAGUCGAACGGCAGAGCAGUAAGAGCUUGCUCUUAGGGGUGGCGUGUGGCGGGAGGGUUGGGAGUCCAUCGGAUUCUACUUUUUCUUGGGGCCUCACGUAGGGGAAUUUCCGCUAGUACCGGUUACGACCUCCGGGUGACACCAGGGUAUCUUCUGUCCUUGCGGUUUUGACUGCGCCGGUGUGGGAUUAGCUCGUUUGCGGGGUAAUGGCUCACCAAGGCGACGCUCCGUAGCUGGUCUGAGAGGAUGAACAGCCACACUGGAAGAGAGACACGGUCCAGACUCCUACAGGAGGCAGCAGUGGGGAAUAUUAGACAAUGGGCGCAAGCCUAAUCCAGCCAUACCGCGUGGGUGAAGAAGGCCUGCGGGUUGUAAAGCCCUUUUGUUAGGAGAGAAAAACAGCAGGUUAAUACCCCGCGGUUCUGACGGUACCCAAAGAAAAAGCACCGGCUAACUUCGUG
rnacentral:rRNA from 1 species